UCCCCUUUUCUCCACAUAUGAGCCGAGCUCCUCGAGCUCUCUCUCUCCUGUUAUGUCUAGCCACCACCGGCCACCGUCGAUAUCCCUUACCGGAGCGUUGUUGGCCAAGCCCUUGCGCCAUCGGGUUUGCCUAGACGAGGCGAAUCCAUUUCACCCCUUUCCCCUUUCCCUUCCCCUUUGAAACAAACCAUCACAGCCACUUCCUCUUGUUGCCGGAGCAAGCUAUUGCCGUCGCCGUUCCGGUCUCCUCCCUAAGACCCUAACCCUCUCUACCGGAAACCACCCUCCCCGGGUGCGCGUCGCUCGGGAACAUGUUUUGCCGCCGACGUCGCAGCCUCUCAACCACCAGAGUACCGGCGCCCCUCCUCUCCCUCCUCUCAACUCACUCGGCAACAGAAAAGAGGAAGAGAACGGGAGGAAGAAGAAGGAAGAAGAAAGAGAGAAGAAAAGGAAAAGGAAAACUGACAGUAGAGUCUAUUUUGGAUGGCAGCCUGUGAUAUUUCAAGGAUCGGAUAAUCAGGUUGCCUAUCUUGGAUUUAUUUGCGUUGGAGCAAGGCAAGUUAUUAUUCCUCCCCUUUGAGCAUAAUAAUCCUAUAUUCUAUAUCUCCGGUAUCUUAUGCAUUAGCCAUACAUGAUUUCGAAUGCAUAACCUGAAUAUAUAGCAAACCAGAUAUAUGCUAGAUUUUGCUUAGCCAUGCCUAGUUAGAUUGCAUAAAAUAUAAUAAACUUAGAUUGGAACAAUACGGUAGAAAUGGUUGAUUUCCGGGUGGCUAGUACUGUUCCAACCGACAUAAAAUUGCCAAGUACAUGUGAAGAACAUACGAGUACGACCGCAAUUCUCGUAUGGGCAUAGACCUAGCUGAUUAAGUUAUCUAGAAAAGGUGGUACCUCUGUAUAGUGGUUCUUCUUAAGUCCUCGCGCAGGAGGCAAACUUACGCCGAGCAGGGCGAUUGUAAUAUUUACCGAGGUGCAUGUAAAUAUUUGAGAUAAAUUGUGAUAUCACAAACUGUGUGUGUAUUGUGAAUACCUUGGUAUAAACAUGGUUGAAUCAAA